rnacentral:tRNA from 1 species
CAAAGUGUAGCUUAAACCUAAAGCAUCUGGCCUACACCCAGAAGACUUCAUAAUUAACGUGACACUUUGA